CGAAAGCCUGACGCAGCAACGCCGCGUGAGGGAUGACGGCCUUCGGGUUGUAAACCUCUUUCAGCCCCGACGAAGCGUGAGUGACUGUAGGGGAAGAAGAAGCACCGGCUAACUACGUGCCAGCAGCCGCGGUAAUACGUAGGGUGCGAGCGUUGUCCGGAAUUAUUGGGCGUAAAGGGCUCGUAGGCGGCCUGUCGCGUCUGCUGUGAAAUCCCGGGGCUCAACCCCGGGUCUGCAGUGGAUACGGGCAGGCUAGAGUCCGGCAGGGGAGACUGGAAUUCCUGGUGUAGCGGUGAAAUGCGCAGAUAUCAGGAGGAACACCGGUGGCGAAGGCGGGUCUCUGGGCCGGUACUGACGCUGAGGAGCGAAAGCGUGGGGAGCGAACAGGAUUAGAUACCCUGGUAGUCCACGCCGUAAAACGUUGGGCGCUAGGUGUGGGAUUCCUUCCACGGGUUCCGUGCCGUAGCUAACGCAUUAAGCGCCCCGCCUGGGGAGUACGGCCGCAAGGCUA
rnacentral:rRNA from 1 species